AUGACUUCCGUAGUCAGGGCGAGGGGCACAAGGGUCCCUCAACAUCUCUGCAGGCCCAGCACUCUGUUCCUCAUGUCCAGGCACCACUCUAAUUUCUUAAUUCUGCAUUGGCUCGUUGUUUUUGGGGUCUUCUUUGCAAGUCUGACACGUCCCAUAGUACGCUGGUUCCGAAAUCUGCAUAUUCUAAUGCCCCACCCCCCCCAACCCCCCACAUUUCGUCUUCUCUCCCACUGACUGGGGAGAAGAGCUCUCAACCCAGCCCUGGCUAGGGUCUUUAGUGAUACAAAAAGAACAAUUAACACUAAUGACUUGUAAUUAUCAUAACAACAAGUAGCACUGCAGCCGCGCUGGUCUGAUGGGUUUCUGUAACUUUUUCUACAAAAAAAAAAUCGGCAGAAUUUUGUUCAUAACAGAAGUUGCUAUGAAUUAGACCUCAGUUAAGUAGGAAAAAAAAGCCUGAAAAGCUAUUGACAUAGCAGUCCAUUGCAUGCAAUAUAGAAUACUGAUUUCCUAAAAAAUUCUGACUGACAAAUAGGAGUGCGCAAAAUAGUUAUCAGAGCUCACUACAGGUCCAAAAAUUUCAGUUUUGAGUGGCAAUUUUCCAUUCCAUAGGAAAAAAAAAGCUGACUAUAUUGAAUCCAGAGGAUUUAGUUUCUUUAGUUUAAGUGUAAUAUGCAAAAUUAAAUAACACUUAUUGACAUCUUUUCAGUGUAGAUUCUUGAUAAGAAAAUGUUCUGAUACAAUUUUAAUGUUUUAAAUAUUUCUGUUCUAGGAUGUUAAACUCAUCACAUAAAUUCUUACACACAAGUAUGUGCAUUGCAGUUGCAGUUAAAGCUCAGUUUUGCUAAAGAACAGCACCAAAUUUGUGGUAAAUAUUAAACCAGCUUAAUCUAUUAGGAAUUCUAAAACAAAUCAUAAAACAAGAGGCAUAAGUAGUGAGUUCAUGGUUGAAUUCCAUCCAUAGAAAACUUAAUUUAUGCCCAGAGGUGAUUAUAAGUGCAGUGACAAGGCUUAUUAGACUACGCUGAAAGAUCUGUAUUGGAUACUCAGAAUCAUAGAGAAUUAAGCUUAAACCAUCUUUUGCUGCCUGAAUUGAAAUUAGUUGUAAUAGUAAAGUUGACUGCUGAAUUUUCUUGAUUUCUCAAAGGUUUUAAAAAAACCAUGACAUUUACUUCACUGGAUCUGUUUUUCCUAUUCAUAACUCCUAGUGAUAACAUUGCUUAUCUACAGGUAAUGUAGAACUGAUAAAAGAGUGAGGAAAAAACCUCAAGUUUUUCUUGCUGUAUAUAAGUUUUAAUUUUGAGAGAGUGUUAUUUUCUAGAUAUAUUUUUCCUUUAUUUUACUGUGAAAUUGUUUACUUCAAGGAGUUUUUCAUAGCUGGGGUUUUGGAAAUGAUCCCUCAAUAUUUGUUUGGAAAAGAGGGCUUGUGAAAGGCAAAGGUCACUCUUAGAGCAAGUGUCAUAUAUUAAUGGCUGAAUGGUAUGCUGGGUUUUUUUUUAUUUAUAUGGGAAGGGCAUUGGGUAUCAAGUAGAUAGGAGAUUUAUAAUGUAACUGUAAUAGUAUAGCAGGAGAUAGCAUGGUAGAGUACAGAUGCAGCCCUUUAGUGUCGAAAAAUACCUCCAAAUUCUCAGGUUCCAAAGCUUAAUGUACGUACUUUUGACAUCUCAGGAAGAAAAGAGGCUGGGUGGGGCAGGGUAGGGUGCUGAAGAGACAAAAGGGAGAACAUGCCUGGGUGGAAAGGUAAAGCAAACCACAUGUCAGCUUCUGUCAAAACAGAAAUAAGUGUGAGACUGGGCAGCACAAUGUUUUAUCUGUGGGUGGGUUUGUACCACAGAACUGCUUUGGGGUGUUGCCAUUCUGGGAAAGAAAAUGUGUGGGCAUACCCUGCCUACUUCUUCUAAUGUGGUCUGGCUCUUGGCAAUGCAGAACGCCUGCCAUACAAGAGGCACAAUUAUAAAAUAUCUGAAUAUUUUUCAUCUAAUAAUAAAGGCAUAAUAAUUAGAUUAUUUGCUUCACUCUAUUGCACUUUUAUUAAGCAUUCUCUGAAAAAAAGCAAAGAUAUUCCUGCAGCUCUUUGCCAUAUGAGAAUGCUUACCUUGGAGGUCACUGGGACUGCUUGUAUGUAUAUUCUAGUGUUUGCAGGCUCAAACUGUGUUUUUUUGCAGAAUGUUUUGAAAGAUAUCAGGAAUACUACCCCACUUUUAAAAAUAAAUGUGAAGUCCUUAGUUACAAAAGUUGCCAUUCUUAGAAAUUAUGUUUCAUGACUUCUUUUGGAAAUUAGACCACGGCCUGCAGUAAUACUAGCUUGUCUGAUUCACUCUGUUAAUGUUUGUAUUAAUAUAUUAAAGCACCUCUGUUAAUCCCUAGCAACACAACCCAAACCACAUGCUUAUUAUGUAUUUUAUCUGAGUAGUCUUCUGAGUGUCAAAUUGAGAGCUUUCAUUAUGAUGAAAUUACAUUCCUGCUUACCUGAAGUUUAAAACAACCAUUGUGUUAGGACUUGCACAGACUAGUUCUGCUCUCACAUCUCAGUGGUAACUCAGUCUGGCCCUUCGAUGAUGACCCUAAACACAUAUGUAGGAAGGAUGCAGUAGCCAGCAGUGCAGAUGACCAUGGAGGACAUGGAAAUCAUACAUAGGCUUGGUUGGCCCUCUGCAGAAGAGCUUUUUGAAACUUAAGGAAAUAGAUCUGUGGGUGUGGGUUUUUUUCAGUGGGAAAAUCAGUGAAAACCAGCACGUCUAAAAUUUGAUGGUUACAUUUCAAAUAUUUAGGCCAGUUCUGCUCAUUACAUUUAAUCACAGUGAUUAUUCCUGCAAGUAAAGAAAGCAGACUCAAACAUAGUGUCUGAAGUAGAAUUUUUUUUAAUGAAUGACCAAUUUUGUCUCGGCUCCUAUUUCAGUGUGUCAUUUAUCUUGAUUAAGUAGUAAAUCUCUUCCAUCGUGUUAUUUAGGAAUCUAAUUCUGACUUCAUAUUUACAAUAGUUGAAGUAUCCUACUAAGCAUGAUGUUUUUGUGGGAAUUUGAAAAAGUUCAAUAGCACUCAUUACUUGUUUGCAACAGAAAUAGACUUAUUUGUUAAAAGUUAACAAGAAAAGUUUGAAAUGUAAAGAUGUUUCAUUAUUGUGCUUUUCUGACAGAACCUGUAAUCCUUGUGUAAUUUAUGUCCUCAGAAUUACACCUGUAUGUACGCUCUUUCAUAUUUAAUAAAACAUUGUUGUAAAAACAUUUUUGAAAAUUAUUGUUCCCUGCUUGCCUUCUCAGUCUCAUGGUGAGAAAUGGCUUUAAUGUCAGCCGCUCCCUAUACUUAGGAGGCAGCCAAGAUCUCAUCUCAGUGAUGAUGCUGAGAAAAUGCUUGAUCCUAAUUUUGAGGUUUAUUACUUCCUGUAUUUUGUGUGACAGUUUUCGGUGAGAAAGCAGUGUGUUAAAGAGUCUGAGGUUCUAUCUCUAGAACUGUAAAUUUAGUUGAGCUGGUUAUUUUAAGACAC
rnacentral:lncRNA from 14 species